GUGAGAGUGAGAGAGAGAGAGA
rnacentral:miRNA from 1 species